rnacentral:rRNA from 1 species
CAGUCGCCGCGGUAAUGCGAAGGGCGCAAGCGUUACUCGGAAUUACUGGGCGUAAAGCGUGUGUAGGUGGUUGUUUAAGUCUGUCGUGAAAGCCCUGGGCUCAACCUGGGAAUUGCGAUGGAUACUGGGCGACUAGAGUGCGGUAGAGGAUAGUGGAAUUUCCGGUGUAGCAGUGAAAUGCGUAGAGAUCGGAAGGAACAUCUGUGGCGAAGGCGACUAUCUGGGCCAACACUGACACUGAGACACGAAAGCGUGGGGAGCAAACAGGAUUAGAUACCCGCGUAGUCCCUGUCUCUUAUAC